AUGCAACGCGAAACCUUACCUACGCUUGACAUGUCAGGAACCUGAAGAGAUUGGGGUGCCGAAGGAGCCUGAACACAGGUGCUGCAUGGCUGUCGUCAGCUCGUGUCGUGAGAUGUCGGGUUAAGUCCCGCAACGAGCGCAACCCUUAUCAUUAGUUGCUACGCAAGGGCACUCUAAUGAGACUGCCGGUGACAAACCGGAGGAAGUGGGGAUGACGUCAAGUCCUCAUGGCCCUUAUGCGUAGGGCUUCACACGUCAUACAAUGGUCGGUACAGAGGGUUGCCAACCCGCGAGGGGGAGCCAAUCCCAUAAAGCCGAUCGUAGUCCGGAUUGCAGUCUGCAACUCGACUGCAUGAAGUCGGAAUCGCUAGUAAUCGCGGAUCAGCAUGUCGCGGUGAAUACGUUCCCGGGUCUU
rnacentral:rRNA from 1 species